AUUGAACGCUGGCGGCAGGCCUAACACAUGCAAGUCGAGCGGAUGAAGGGAGCUUGCUCCUGGAUUCAGCGGCGGACGGGUGAGUAAUGCCUAGGAAUCUGCCUGGUAGUGGGGGAUAACGUCCGGAAACGGGCGCUAAUACCGCAUACGUCCUGAGGGAGAAAGUGGGGGAUCUUCGGACCUCACGCUAUCAGAUGAGCCUAGGUCGGAUUAGCUAGUUGGUGGGGUAAAGGCCUACCAAGGCGACGAUCCGUAACUGGUCUGAGAGGAUGAUCAGUCACACUGGAACUGAGACACGGUCCAGACUCCUACGGGAGGCAGCAGUGGGGAAUAUUGGACAAUGGGCGAAAGCCUGAUCCAGCCAUGCCGCGUGUGUGAAGAAGGUCUUCGGAUUGUAAAGCACUUUAGGUUGGGAGGAAGGGCAGCAAGUUAAUACCUUGCUGUUUUGACGUUACCAACAGAAUAAGCACCGGCUAACUUCGUG
rnacentral:rRNA from 1 species